rnacentral:rRNA from 1 species
UACGUAGGAUGCGAGCGUUGUCCGGAAUUAUUGGGCGUAAAGAGAACGUAGGUGGUUAAUUAAGUUCGGUCUUAAAAGACCGGGGCUCAACCCCGGGGAAUGGACUGAAGACUGGUUGACUAGAGGAUGUUAGAGGACGGUGGAAUUCCCAGUGUAGCGGUGAAAUGCGUAGAUAUUGGGAGGAACACCAGUGGCGAAAGCGGCCUCUGGAACAUUCCUGACACUGAGGUUCGAAAGCUCGGGGAGCAAACAGG